rnacentral:rRNA from 1 species
CCUACGGGGGGCAGCAGUGAGGAAUAUUGGUCAAUGGACGGAAGUCUGAACCAGCCAUGCCGCGUGCAGGAAGACGGCUCUAUGAGUUGUAAACUGCUUUUGUACAAGGGUAAACCUGAAUACGUGUAUUCAGCUGAAAGUACUGUACGAAUAAGGAUCGGCUAACUCCGUGCCAGCAGCCGCGGUAAUACGGAGGAUGCGAGCGUUAUCCGGAUUUAUUGGGUUUAAAGGGUGCGUAGGCGGAUGUUUAAGUCAGCGGUAAAAUGUCCGGGCUCAACCCGGGCCGGCCGUUGAAACUGGGGAUCUUGAGUGGGCGAGAAGUAUGCGGAAUGCGUGGUGUAGCGGUGAAAUGCAUAGAUAUCACGCAGAACUCCGAUUGCGAAGGCAGCUUACUAAACUGCCACUGACAUUGAUGCUCGAAAGUGUGGGUAUCAAACAGGAUUAGAUACCCCGGUAGUC